GCAGAUCCAAGGCCGCGAAGCUCGCCCCGCACAGGACUUGUCUCCUUUUCGCGAGCGGGCCAAGGUCUGAGUGAUGCAUCCUCGUGCACCUAGCCGGUCGCCGACUGUAAUCAGCCGAGCAACAUGUCCAGCGACGCACCAGAAAUCCCGGCAUUGGCACCCCCGUCCCUGCGUACGCUGGGGAGAGGUUACCCAUGAUGCCUCCGAACGUUAACGACGGAGGUGGAGGACCUUGGAGCCAGUGUCGCUGAAAUCGUCGCGAUGCCUGGGUGUGCCAUAGUCGUACCCGCUGCCGGUACCCUUUCCCGCCGCGCCUUGCCUUCGUCCACGCUAGUGCGACAGCGCGCUGUUGCGGCUUCGUGCUUCGUGAAUGCGCCAUCGGUGCGCACCGCAGUCGCUUGUGGGCCGUCGGCCCCAAGGCCUGAGGGGUCGGUCGUUCUACUUUCCCGACAAUCGUCCUGGCAUCGGGGGUCAUUCCCUGGUGCUGCGCAGACGCCCUCACGUCUCUUCUCGGGUCCAUAGCGGCUCGGCGGAGGGCCGUGUGUGUGGAUUUGUGAGCGUAGGCUGGAUGGUAUAGGGGGGUAAGCUCCCGAGCGCAACUUGCGCUGCUCAAGGGGGCAAGGGGGCAUAUCUGGGAGGGUAUUGAAGCGUGGUCCAUGGCACGCCCUUGAGUGCAAUUCGCGGCACGCCUAAUUCAUCGGAGACGGCGCAACUCGAUUCAGACUACUCUGGGUCUGC
rnacentral:RNase_P_RNA from 2 species